UGGAAAAAGUGAAAAAAGAAAAGACUUUGAAUCCCGAAGUAGAAGACUCUGUAGCAGAGCUGGAGUCAUUCAUGGGGGAAUCUCAAACCACGGACAAAUCAAAUCGAUGAGCUUGGCCAUGGAAAGUGUCAAGAGAAAAGCAGGUCUGCUGAAGUCUCCAGUGUUCUGUCUGCCUUGAACUUCAUCUUUUCUGGUGCAAAGAGGAUUUGUUAAUGUCAAUCAUAUAACAAAAGGGGAAAUUCAAAUCACUUUAGAGCAUUAAAAAGGUAAUUUGCAGUGAUGAACCAGCAGGAAAUCAUCACUAAUCAAGUUUCUUAACAGUAAGAGUUCAUGAGGAGCCAGAGGAUCGUGAGUGAGAGGUGAGAAGAACCAUGAAAGGAUUACAGAACAUGUGGGAUGAAUGAUAAACGCUUGGUCUCUUUCUGGAAUUGGAAUUAGAGGCUGAAAACACAGUCAUUCCAACAGAUUAGAGUUUUCCACACAAGGAGAACUCUGGAAAUCCUGGAAAUCCUUCCCAACCAGGAUGCCUCCACAGACACAAUGAGAACUCAUACAGGAGGUCAUCAAAGGACGUGAAUAUCCUAAAAUUACAUUAAA